rnacentral:lncRNA from 1 species
AUGCACACAAACAGGCCUAGGCGAAACACAGAGGCUGUGUCCAAAAGCUGGAAGUUUGUUUGUUUACAGGAGUGGAGUUUCCCCGCACUUAUCCAGAGAGUGAUUUACAAAGCUGAGUUAAAACUCUGGCGCGCUCUGUUUUGGGUAAGGCCCCCUAAGGAUGAGAAGUUCCAGGUACUCACAGAGGGGCCUGGCCCUGCCCAGCAAAAAGGCCGAGGGUUUCUUAACUGAUUGGGACCCUCCACAAGCUCCAGACACUGCCCUUAACCGCUUCCCUACCCCGUGCAACCUCAGGGGAGCUAUGAAGAGGUGGGAGUCUCAGAAGAGCCUCAGAUCCGCGCCAGGCUCCUCAGGCCGGCAAGAAGGAGGUGACCUAUAACCAAGCUAUUCAGGUCCAGACAGCCCAGCCCCACCUGGCCGCUGUGGGUCGCGGUACCCGGCCUCACUAUCCAGCCUCCGCAAAACUGGACUCAGACCCAUUCUAGGAGCCAUGGAUGG